rnacentral:rRNA from 1 species
UGAGGAACAUGACCUUCGGCGGGGGAUAGCCGGCCCGACGGCCGGGUAAUACCGCGUACGACCAUUUGGGGACAUCCCCGAGUGGUGAAAGCAGCAAUGCGCCGAUGGAGUGCCUCGCGGCCUAUCAGCUAGUUGGUGGGGUAACGGCCUACCAAGGCGACGACGGGUAGCCGGCCUGAGAGGGCGACCGGCCACACUGGGACUGAGACACGGCCCAGACUCCUACGGGAGGCAG